ACCCUGUUAAAUACAGUCAAAGAUAAUCUUCCUAUUCAGAUUCAGAAACUCACAGAAGAGAAAUAUCAAGUGGAACAAUGUGUAAAUGAGGCAUCUAUUAUAAUUCGGAAUACAAAAGAGCCCACGCUAACUUUGAAGGUGAUACUUACCUCACCUCUAAUUAGGGACGAAUUGGAGAAGAAGGAUGGAGGUACACAUGUAUAUAUAUAUAUAUAUAUGUAUAUAUUUGUUGUUGUUGUUUGUUUUCUUCAUAUAAAAGCUAUGUUAACAAUGUUUUAUGGAUUUAGGAAAUAACAGCCUUCAUUUGUUUUAUGCCACUCUAUUUAAUAGUAUUUUAAAUGGCUUUGUUUCUACAUAAUCAGUAUAUUUUGCAAAAAUGUAUGAAUUCAAAAUAUAAAAUGUUAUUUCAAAAACUUGUGCUUGUCUUGUUGGUUUUAACUCUGCUUUAAUUUUUAUACCAUUUGCUGUUCUGUUUUACUUUGUCUAGUAUUGCAUUAAGUUAUUGCUAUCAGCCAACUUAUUCUAUGUAUUUUGGCUUAAUGGUCGGAUUUCAGGAUUAAAUGUGGUCCAAAACAGAAUUGUUUUCAAAUUUACUCAUUGCUCCAAAAUUACUUGCAUCCUGGUUGGGCAUGGUCGCUCAUGCCUGUAAUCCCAGCACUUUGGGAGGCCGAGGUGUGUGGAUUGCUUGAGGCCAGGAGUUCAAGACCAACCUGGCCAACUUGGCAAAACCCCGUCUCUACUG
rnacentral:lncRNA from 10 species